AACGCUGGCGGCACGCCUAACACAUGCAAGUCGAGCGGGAUCUUCGGAUCUAGCGGCGGACGGGUUAGUAACGCGUGGGAACGUACCCAGAUCUACGGAAUAGCCUCGGGAAACUGAGAGUAAUACCGUAUACGCCCUUCGGGGGAAAGAUUUAUCGGAUUUGGAUCGGCCCGCGUAAGAUUAGAUAGUUGGUGGGGUAAUGGCCUACCAAGUCUACGAUCUUUAGCUGGUUUGAGAGGAUGAUCAGCAACACUGGGACUGAGACACGGCCCAGACUCCUACGGGAGGCAGCAGUGGGGAAUCUUAGACAAUGGGCGCAAGCCUGAUCUAGCGAUGCCGCGUGAGUGAUGAAGGCCUUAGGGUCGUAAAGCUCUUUCGCCUGUGAAGAUAAUGACGGUAGCAGGUAAAGAAACCCCGGCUAACUCCGUGCCAGCAGCCGCGGUAAUACGGAGGGGGUUAGCGUUGUUCGGAAUUACUGGGCGUAAAGCGCACGUAGGCGGACUAGUCAGUCAGAGGUGAAAUCCCAGGGCUCAACCCUGGAACUGCCUUUGAUACUGCUAGUCUUGAGUUCGAGAGAGGUAAGUGGAAUUCCGAGUGUAGAGGUGAAAUUCGUAGAUAUUCGGAGGAACACCAGUGGCGAAGGCGGCUUACUGGCUCGAUACUGACGCUGAGGUGCGAAAGUGUGGGGAGCAAACAGGAUUAGAUACCCUGGUAGUCCACACCGUAAACGAUGAAUGCCAGACGUCGGGUAGCAUGCUAUUCGGUGUCACACCUAACGGAUUAAGCAUUCCGCCUGGGGAGUACGGUCGCAAGAUUAACACUCAAAGGAAUUGACGGGGGCCCGCAC
rnacentral:rRNA from 1 species